rnacentral:rRNA from 1 species
GAUGAACGCUGGCGGCGUGCUUAACACAUGCAAGUCGAACGAUGAAGACCAGCUUGCUGAGUGGGUUAGUGGCGAACGGGUGAGUAACACGUGAGUAACCUGCCCUUAACUCUGGGAUAGGCCUGGGAAACUGGGUCUAAUACCGGAUAGGAGCGUCCACCGCAUGGUGGGUGUUGGAAAGAUUUAUCGGUUUUGGAUGGACUCGCGGGCUAUCAGCUUGUUGGUGAGGUAAUGGCUCACCAAGGCGAUGACGGGUAGCCGAGUUGAGAGGCUGACCGGCCACAUUGGGACUGAGACACGGACCAAACUCCUACGGGAGGCAGCAGUAGGGAAUCUUCCACAAAGGACGCAAGUCUGAUGGAGCAACGCCGCGUGAGUGAAGAAGGUUUUCGGAUCGUAAAGCUCUGUUGUUGGUGAAGAAGGAUAGAGGUAGUAACUGGCCUUUAUUUGACGGUAAUCAACCAGAAAGUCACGGCUAACUACGUG